AGACAUGUGAUUUCUAGAUCUCCGGGCACAGAGCAAGCUGCAAGCAGUUGAAGAAGCGGUGCAGAAGCUCCAAGUCUCUCUGCAUCCUGACAAUGCCUCGGACGCGUCAGCAAAGGGAUCGGACAGUCUGCAGCUAUUGGAUGAAGCGCAGGCAGGAGUCCGGCUGCUGAAAGCCCAGCUGGGUAACGUCAGUGCAGCGUAUGGAGAAAUCCAGAUCCGGCUGGACAACGUCAGUGCAGCGCGAGCAGCAGUGAAAGAUUGCUGCAGUGACGUGCUGACAAAGCUCUCCAGGGGCUGGAGGUUUUACGGUGGGAACCUCUAUUACUUUUCAAAAGGAAAGAAGUCGUGGGAUGCAUCCGAACGGUUCUGUGUGUCUCAGCACUCGCACCUGACCUCUGUCUCCUCCCAGGUGGAACAGGUGAGC
ensembl:lncRNA